rnacentral:lncRNA from 1 species
GUUUAUCUUAACAUCCUCCCCCAAACCCAGCAGCCUUCAAUAAUGACUACUGGGAGUUGGUGUAUAUAUGUAUAUAUAUAUAUGUGUAUAUAUAUAUAUAUAUAUAUAUAUAUAUAUAUAUGUAUAUAUAUCCCAGCAAACUUUUUUCCUCUAGUAGGAUUACUCUGAGACAGGUUCUCUGAAUUGACUACCCAAAUUCCCUAGAUCAAAUUUCAGUGUAUCAAAAGCACCUGAGGGCUUGUUAGACCAGAUUUCCAGGCCCAUGUGCAGGCUUUCUGAUUCAUUUAGCUCAGAGUAGGGCCUAAAAUUCUGCAUUUCUAACCAGUGCUCCAGUGUUGCUGAUGCUGUUCAACCAUGAACCACACUUUUAAAAUCUGUUUUUGCUCUUUGUAACUCACAUAUCAGCCUCGUUGUUACCUGAGAUCAUCUCGCAAAUGAAAUAUUAGACUCUGUCCUUUUGGGGGGCCUGCUUCCAGAAAAAGACACACAAAUACACUACUACCUAGAUUGUUAUUCUUGGUAUGUUACACAUGAGAACCUUGUUGCUUAGAGAUUAGGCUACUUGUCCCAGAUCACACAACUGGAAAAUUCUAGUUGUUAAUUUCUGCAUGAUACUCUUUGGUAUAAUGCUUUCCCCAUAUAAAGCACUCUACAAAUGUCAGUAGAAUUAAAUGCAAUGGUGUCAAUCAACUAUCUCACAAGGAUUGAAAACAGAACCAGCUUACUUUGGAAGCCUGAAAAGAUUUCUUGACAAGUACUUCAUGUUUUAGAAUAGAACCAUGCAUCUGAAAAGAUGACCAGACUUGUUCAUGCAAGUCUCCUAACACCUGAGGAAUAGGACUGGCUUGGCUCUGCAUUGACACCAUGGUCUUCUGGUGAAACUCAGGUCUCCUGUUGCACUCUGAAAACUCAAAAGAUAGCCCAGAGAAGUUUAUAGCUGCUUGACAGCUGGAGUCCAAAAAUCCUACUGCCCCCCUCUGGAGAUAAUUAGACCCACUGACUGCUAUCAGUACUGUACUUUGAUUCCUUAUUUUAUAUUAGCCAAGAGCCCAGAUCCAUCUCUUCUCUCCAAUAUGUAUCAUCUUUAUCUCAGUUCACCACUCUUAAAGAAUUUUGUUGUUAUCUCUAUUUUUUUGCUUCUGCUUUUUGUGGAUGAUGGGGAUUUUUUUCCCCACACAAAACAAAGCAUAUGUUAUAGUUUUUGAGUGGUUUUAUGAUUCAAUCACUCUACUCUUUCAAGAGUCUGUCAAAAAUUUAGAGAUGGUUGAAUACUCAAAGCUCAAAAUGAGAUAGGACUCUGGCUUCACAGAUCAGUCAAUCACUGAGCACUGGGUGCCCAGAGAGAAUUGUACAUAACAGGAAAAUAAUAUAUAAUUGCGUGAACAAUUCACUUUAUUAGUUUCCUUGGGAUUAAGCCUGUACCAUCUAUAGUAGCUUUGACAACAAAGAAAAGAAAAAA